GACGAACGCUGGCGGCGUGCUUAACACAUGCAAGUCGAACGCUGAAGCUCAGCUUUUGUUGGGUGGAUGAGUGGCGAACGGGUGAGUAACACGUGAGUAACCUGCCCCCUUCUUUGGGAUAACGCCCGGAAACGGGUGCUAAUACUGGAUAUUCACUGGUCUUCGCAUGGGGGUUGGUGGAAAGGGUUUUUCUGGUGGGGGAUGGGCUCGCGGCCUAUCAGCUUGUUGGUGGGGUGAUGGCCUACCAAGGCUUUGACGGGUAGCCGGCCUGAGAGGGUGACCGGUCACAUUGGGACUGAGAUACGGCCCAGACUCCUACGGGAGGCAGCAGUGGGGAAUAUUGCACAAUGGGCGCAAGCCUGAUGCAGCGACGCCGCGUGAGGGAUGGAGGCCUUCGGGUUGUGAACCUCUUUCGCUCAUGGUCAAGCCGCAACAAUGGUUGUGGUGAGGGUAGUGGGUAAAGAAGCGCCGGCGAACUACGU
rnacentral:rRNA from 1 species